rnacentral:lncRNA from 1 species
CUCCUUUCACAUUUUCAGGGACAGACCUGGGAUGUGAAAUUUCAAACUCUGCCCUGAGUUAAAUUCCAGGAGAGGGUACAAGAGCAAAGGAUAAAGGCUGGGGGAGGGAGGGAAAGGCAGAGAGGACGUGUCCCUGCUGUUCUCACUGAAGCCAGGCCACACGACCCUCAGGGCCAGCCUGCUGAACUGUGCACACACACAUCACCCCCACACAAGGUCUCCUUGGCCCCAUCUUCCCAGGGACCUCGGGGGAGGGCAACAGAGGAGGUGACAAGUUUCUCUCUGAGCAGUUGAUGCUGGGAGAAACGUGUGGCUUGCAGAGCUGCCAGUCCCACAAAAACCACAUCCUGAAAGAUGGACCAAGUAGAAAAAAAGGCCACCAUCCACCUCAGGCCAGCUUCUGGAACUGUCAGUUCCUUUGGGGAAUGUCUGACAUGUUCUUUUUCCCUCUGAUUUCAUCCCAAACCUUUUGAGAAGCAGGUUGCGUGGCAUUGCACAAGUUACUUAGAUUUACUGAGCCUGUUUCCUCCUGCAAUAAAUGGGCACGAGCCUCCCUGGGCUGUUAAGGAAAUUCAAUCAGAAACUGUGUAAAGGCCCUGAGGCACUAAAGGCCAAUUUGGGUUCCCGACCUCCUUCCCACCGUCUGCCCUCCAUCCCAGGCACACAACCAGAGAGAUACCUCGAAGAUGAGAGGAGGCCGUCACCACAAUGGAUUCCGGCCCUGGGGUCUGAUGGAGACAUUGGUCCGCCCUUCGGUCAGACUCUUGGGGGCGUUAGGGGGGUGGGGGGGUCUCUGCUCUGCAACCCUUAGCUGAACCCCAUCCUCCACUUCUCUCCUCCCGUCUGGUCAGAGUGGGAAGAGGUUUGGAUUGGGAUCCCCCCUCCUGCACUUCCUGGCUGGGUAACCUGGACGAUGGGAUAACAGUCCCCCGAUUGCAAGGUCAGGGGAAGGACUGUGUCAGAAUAUAGGCCCUCAGUGCAGGACAGUUGCUCAUCCUAAGCCUCUCCUGCCUUUUGCUCUUCCAGUGGCUUUUCACCCAGAAGGAAGAUCCUCCCCUGCAGAACCUCUCCCCAGAACUAGGUCUUUGCAGGUGACGAGGUAAUCCCAGCCUCCCCUCCCCGCAGAUCAGCGUUUUUCGAAGUGACUUUCUCACCAGGCGGAGCAUUGAAAGUACCGAUCCCAGCGCACCCAGCCCUGCUGAAUCAGAAUCUCUGGGGGUGAGGCCCAGGAAUCGCCGUCUGAACAAGUCGCGGGCUGGAAACGGCUGCCCCAGAUUACAGGGCAGCUCCCUGCUUCGCUCUCGCUCCUCCGGCCCCGGGAACGUGCAGGGGGGCGGGAGGCAAGUCCCAUCAGCACUUUGAACUGGGGCUGCUUUUUAGUGACUCACCUCCCAGACUUCCUGCAACAGACAACUCUAAAUAGCUCGGUCCCACCCUCCAGCAGGGGAGACAUUCCGGUCGGGAAGGGCAGGAGGUUAGAAGGUGGGUGCCCCGCCAGGGCAGUCCAGGGAGACCCAAGGACAGGAGACGCUGGCUGCACAGCACAGGGGCGCACGAAUAGGACGUUUUGUUUACAGGCUUUUGUUAUUAAGGAAAUUGGUGUCAGUCAAGGUAAUUCUAGCUCAGAUGAGCAAUAAAUAUGCUCCCAGCUAAUCUUGUGGGGAUUUUAUUGGCACUCGGAGCAGAGGUUCCUUUACCUUGACUACUCCCUCCCCUCAAAGCAAAGUCCUGCUCCCCAGCGGCUUCCCCCUAAGCAUCGUGAGGCACUUGGGUCAGGCUUUUAAAAGUCCACUCUACGUGAACACAGAAGAGGUCCGGGCAAAGGUGAGGAGUGGCUUCCUGAUCCUACCUGGAGGCCGAGGAUGACCAAAUGACCUGAAAUAAAACCCUGGGUGACCUGGUUGGAUCAAGGCAUACGCAAGCUCCCCCGGGCCUGCUCCACACUCGGGGUGAUCACCUGGCCCGCGGGCGGCCCGGGCAAGGAGGAACGUCUCGAGAAGGCAGCCGGCUCGCCGGAGUCGGUUCCAGCGUGUUCGAGUUACAGCUGCGAGCCCUCAGGGACACCGGCGGCAAGUCCCGGCUUGCAGAGAGGGGAGCCAGUCCCGGGAGAGCGCGAGUCCCGGCGAGCCCGAGUGCGCGCCUUAUGCGCGCUCCCCGCGACGGCGCAGGGGGAGGGGAGGCCGCAGCAGCCACUCAGAGGAACGGUAGUGAAGCCUCCCAACAACUUUAACUGUCAAUCAGACUUAAUGGGGUAUUGAAAAAAUGGGGGAAAAAGGGGCCGCCCUCUCCGCGACGCGGCUGCCCGGGGAGCGAAUGAAUAGGGCCGCGCAGACCAAGGCGUCCGAUCCACGCGCGCUCCACACCCGGACCCUCUCCAAGUUGGAAAGGACAAAAAGAAGGCAAUAAAUGCUAAAAAGGGAGAGAAGGGGAGCUGGAUCGAGCGGCAACUCCCAGCCUCUGCUGGAACAGAGAGGGAGGGAGGGAGCCGGAGCGAGCGAGCGCGCGCGAGGGCGAGCGCUGCACGUAAAGAAACUGACACCCGGACCCCCCACUUCUCCUGCACGUUGCUGGCAAUCAGAUCGCGUUUAAGCAAUUUCCUGAGCCCAAGAAUAGCAAUGAGUCGGGAGACUUUCGCGGGCUGAAAUUGGGAGCUCCAAGCACUUUUUCCCCCCACUUU